GGCGAGCGGCGGACGGGUGAGUAAUGUCUGGGAAACUGCCUGAUGGAGGGGGAUAACUACUGGAAACGGUAGCUAAUACCGCAUAACGUCGCAAGACCAAAGAGGGGGACCUUCGGGCCUCUUGCCAUCAGAUGUGCCCAGAUGGGAUUAGCUAGUAGGUGGGGUAACGGCUCACCUAGGCGACGAUCCCUAGCUGGUCUGAGAGGAUGACCAGCCACACUGGAACUGAGACACGGUCCAGACUCCUACGGGAGGCAGCAGUGGGGAAUAUUGCACAAUGGGCGCAAGCCUGAUGCAGCCAUGCCGCGUGUAUGAAGAAGGCCUUCGGGUUGUAAAGUACUUUCAGCGGGGAGGAAGGCGUUGAGGUUAAUAACCUCAGCGAUUGACGUUACCCGCAGAAGAAGCACCGGCUAACUCCGUGCCAGCAGCCGCGGUAAUACGGAGGGUGCAAGCGUUAAUCGGAAUUACUGGGCGUAAAGCGCACGCAGGCGGUCUGUCAAGUCGGAUGUGAAAUCCCCGGGCUCAACCUGGGAACUGCAUUCGAAACUGGCAGGCUAGAGUCUUGUAGAGGGGGGUAGAAUUCCAGGUGUAGCGGUGAAAUGCGUAGAGAUCUGGAGGAAUACCGGUGGCGAAGGCGGCCCCCUGGACAAAGACUGACGCUCAGGUGCGAAAGCGUGGGGAGCAAACAGGAUUAGAUACCCUGGUAGUCCACGCCGUAAACGAUGUCGACUUGGAGGUUGUGCCCUUGAGGCGUGGCUUCCGGAGCUAACGCGUUAAGUCGACCGCCUGGGGAGUACGGCCGCAAGGUUAAAACUCAAAUGAAUUGACGGGGGCCCGCACAAGCGGUGGAGCAUGUGGUUUAAUUCGAUGCAACGCGAAGAACCUUACCUACUCUUGACAUCCAGAGAACUUUCCAGAGAUGGAUUGGUGCCUUCGGGAACUCUGAGACAGGUGCUGCAUGGCUGUCGUCAGCUCGUGUUGUGAAAUGUUGGGUUAAGUCCCGCAACGAGCGCAACCCUUAUCCUUUGUUGCCAGCGGUCCGGCCGGGAACUCAAAGGAGACUGCCAGUGAUAAACUGGAGGAAGGUGGGGAUGACGUCAAGUCAUCAUGGCCCUUACGAGUAGGGCUACACACGUGCUACAAUGGCGCAUACAAAGAGAAGCGACCUCGCGAGAGCAAGCGGACCUCAUAAAGUGCGUCGUAGUCCGGAUUGGAGUCUGCAACUCGACUCCAUGAAGUCGGAAUCGCUAGUAAUCGUAGAUCAGAAUGCUACGGUGAAUACGUUCCCGGGCCUUGUACACACCGCCCGUCACACCAUGGGAGUGGGUUGCAAAAGAAGUAGGUAGCUUAACCUUCGGGAGGGCGCUUACCACUUUGUGAUUCAUGACUGGGGUGAAGUCGUAACAAGGUAACCGUAGGGGAACCUGCGGC
rnacentral:rRNA from 1 species